UAACUUGAGUGCUAUUGAUUCCCUAUUUAUGGCUUAUGGUUUUUCGGUUUUGUAGCCAUUAAAAUCUCAGAAUGCGAGAUCACACAGUUGGGGACCUCUUCAAAGGAACCAAAUAAUACAUAUGAGUUGAAUGGCAAAUCUUCCAUAGAAAUAUCUACCUUUCUAAGUAGGUGGGAAAUGUCAAUGAUGUUGUGAGUCACCUGGUCUUUAGUUAGGUGUUUCUUUCCUCACAGAGGGGCUUUUUUAUUGUAAAUGUACUAUUUGUUCCAAGCGAAAAAAUCUUUUAUGUUCGAA